GUCUCAGGCCGUAUCAGCCUGAAGGCGCCUGAUCUCGUCUGAUCUCGGAAGCUAAGCAGGGUCGGCCUGGUUAGUAUCUUGGAUGGGAGACC
rnacentral:rRNA from 1 species